rnacentral:tRNA from 1 species
AUUUAUAUAGCUUAAGAAGAGCAUAAUAUUGAAGAUAUUAAGGUAAAAAUUUAUUUUAUAAAUA